rnacentral:rRNA from 1 species
CCUACGGGUGGCAGCAGUGGGGAAUAUUGGACAAUGGGGGGAACCCUGAUCCAGCGACGCCGCGUGAGUGAAGAAGUAUUUCGGUAUGUAAAGCUCUAUCAGCAGGGAAGAAAGAAAUGACGGUACCUGACUAAGAAGCCCCGGCUAACUACGUGCCAGCAGCCGCGGUAAUACGUAGGGGGCAAGCGUUAUCCGGAUUUACUGGGUGUAAAGGGAGCGUAGACGGCGAUGCAAGUCUGAAGUGAAAGGCGGGGGCCCAACCCCCGGACUGCUUUGGAAACUGUAUGGCUGGAGUGCAGGAGAGGUAAGUGGAAUUCCUAGUGUAGCGGUGAAAUGCGUAGAUAUUAGGAGGAACCCCGAUUGCGAAGGCAGCUUACUAAACUGUGACUGACAUUGAUGCUCGAAAGUGUGGGUAUCAAACAGGAUUAGAUACCCUUGUAGUC